UAGGGAGAGUUCUGCAAUAAGUAUUGGGACUACUGGGCAGCCAAUGGUACCAGGAAUUGGAGGGUCGAAUGCGACUGAAGUCAACAAGCCUGUCAUUAACUCUUGCUCAGAUGCUUUUCGAGCGAAUAUGAAACCCGUGUAUUGGAAGACAAAGUUGUGCACCAAGUGGGAAACUACAGGUCAAUGCCCAUUUGGCGAGAAAUGUCACUUUGCUCAUGGACA
rnacentral:misc_RNA from 1 species